GUCUAAGUAUAUGCCGUGUUAAGGCGAAACUGCAAAUGGCUCAUUAAAUCAGUUAUGGUUCCUUGGAUCGUACCUUACUACUUGGAUAACUCUGGCAAUUCUAUAGCUAAUAUAUGUAGCAGAACUUCGAUCCUCUGAGGACAAGCACUUUUAUUAGACCAAAACCAAUCAGACCUCUUGUCCAUAUUAUGUGGUGACUCUGUAUAACUUUGGGUUGAUCGCACGAGCUCGUCCCAGCAUAACAUUGGCCAUCCUGGUAAUUGCGCAUAAUAAUGCAGAG
rnacentral:ncRNA from 1 species